AGAUUAAACUGAAGAGUUUGAUCCUGGCUCAGAUUGAACGCUGGCGGCAUGCCUUACACAUGCAAGUCGAACGGCAGCGCGGGAGCAAUCCUGGCGGCGAGUGGCGAACGGGUGAGUAAUAUAUCGGAACGUGCCCAGUAGUGGGGGAUAGCCCGGCGAAAGCCGGAUUAAUACCGCAUGAGACCUGAGGGUGAAAGCGGGGGAUCGCAAGACCUCGCGCUACUGGAGCGGCCGAUAUCAGAUUAGCUAGUUGGUGGGGUAAAGGCCUACCAAGGCAACGAUCUGUAGUUGGUCUGAGAGGACGACCAGCCACACUGGGACUGAGACACGGCCCAGACUCCUACGGGAGGCAGCAGU
rnacentral:rRNA from 1 species